rnacentral:rRNA from 1 species
AGCGGCGUACGGGUGAGUAACGGGUGGAUAACCUACCUCCGGAUGGGGGAUAACGGCUGGAAACGGCCGCUAAUACCGCAUACGGUUGCUGAAUCCUCGGAUUCGGCAAAGAAAGGGGCCUCAAAGCCUCGUCGGGAGAUGGGUCCGCCUUCGAUUAGCUAGUUGGUAGGGUAACGGCCUACCAAGGCGAUGAUCGAUAGCCGAACUGAGAGGUUGAUCGGCCACACUGGAACUGAGACACGGUCCAGACACCUACGGGUGGCAGCAGUAGGGAGUAUUGCGCAAUGGGCGAAAGCCUGACGCAGCCACGCCGCGUGGAUGAUGAAGGCCUUCGGGUCGUAAAGUCCUUUUAUGAGGGAAGAACAGUCCGGUGAGGAAAUGCUCCGGAUUUGACGGUACCUCAGGAAUAAGCCACGGCUAACUCUGUGCCAGCAGCCGCGGUAAUACAGAGGUGGCUAGCGUUGUUCGGAAUUACUGGGCGUAAGGGGAGCGCAGGCGGCCAAACAAGUCUGGAGUGCAAGCCCGGGGCUCAACCCCGGAAUUGCUUUGGAUACUGUAUGGCUUGAGUACGUCAGAGGUGAGCGGAAUUCCAGGUGUAGCGGUGAAAUGCGUAGAUAUCUGGAGGAACAUCCGUGGCGAAAGCGGCUCACUGGGACGACACUGACGCUGAGGCUCGAAAGCGUGGGGAGCGAACGGGAUUAGAUACCCCGGUAGUCCACGCUGUAAACGUUGUGCACUAGGUGU